UUAUGCAUAACGCCAUUGUAAACUCAAUUUUUAAGGGCGUAUUACAAUAAACGCCACUGUAUUUAAAGCUGAUAGAAACCUAUCCCAGCCAAAAAAACCGAACUCCCGCCUUACUUUUAACAACCUCUCUCUUGCCCGCCCAAUUUUUCAUAGCCCCUCUUUCGAUCUCUCUUCAUCUAUUUUAAUCUUUUUCAAUCUAACCGUUCACGAACUGCUGCAAAGAGUCGCAACUCUGUUCUCUCCUGCUGCAAUCUCUCUCACUUUCCUUUCUCUUCACUCUCCCGCUGCAAUCUGCUCCCUCGACCCUCUUUGCCCACUCUCCCGCUAAAAUGUUUCUCAAAAUCCGUAAGUGUUGGUUUGAAAGAAGAUUGAUUGAACAGGAAGGGGUUUCUAGGUUUCUGAAUUUUCCACGCAUAGACUACUUGCAGAUUUUUGUUAACGAGAACAACCUAUUCAAUCGCAUUAUGCUGGGAAGCUUUCUGCCCAGUAAUCUGUGGAAUCCCCUUCCCCACUUUCUCCAGUCUUGGAUUCGGAAUUACACUGGCGGAACUUUAGUUUAUUUCUUCUUCGGGUUCCGCUGGUAUUUCUACUCUUGCUCCUAGAAACGAAAUGUUUAUGUCCCGAAAGGUUUGCUGUAGGAAACUGCUAUAGCUUGCAGAAAGAUCAUGGAACUUCUCUGAAAAAUUUUCAGCGUGAUGUUAAUCUCAACUCAAAAUUUGCAUAUGCCCAUACCCUAUGUGGCCAUGAGUAAGGGGUAUGUAGCCUUGAGGAUUUUGAAAAUGGAAUAAAGAGCUAUCAGAGUGCCCUCAGAAUAGAUGCAAGACACUAUAACGUGUGGUAUGGUCUUGGGAUGGUAUAUCUUCGCCAAGAGAAGUUUGAGUUCACUGAGCAUGCUUUAAAGGUACUUGCAUGAAAUUUGUCUUCUGCUUACAAUAAAGUUAUCUUUAAUGAUGAAGCAAAGUACGACUUGGGGAUUGACCUAGCUGCCUUGACGUGUGAACCUUUAUUUUGAAAAACUUAUUAUGUUACUAUGUUAUUGUGAGCAAGUAAACCACAUAUUUCUUGUUAAAUUGAGUGCUAUCUAUAUGGAUAUGAGAUUUUUUUUGUCUCCAUGAUGACAAUUUGGUUUGUUACAUUACUUUGUACCAACUGGACUUUAUAGGGAAUGGAUAGCCAGUUAUUA